rnacentral:rRNA from 1 species
GGGUUGAUCCUGCCAGUAGUCAUAUGCUUGUGUUAAAGAUUAAGCCAUGCAUGUCUAAGUAUAAAUUCAUUCUUACGGUGAAACUGCGAAUGGCUCAUUAAAUCAGUAAUUGUUUAUUUGGUAGUACAAGUUACUUGGAUAACCCUGUUAAUUGUAGAGCUAAUACAUGCCAGAAAACCCCAGCGCCCAGGGCAACCUGGGAGCGAAGGUUGCACUUGUUAGCUUGAAGCCAAUGCCGUCCCUCACGGGGCGGGAAACGGGCGAGUCAUAACAAUUGAGCGAAUCGCAUGGCCCUGAGCCGGCGAUGCUCCAUUCGAAUUUCUGACCUAUCAACUUUCGAUGGUAGGAUCGGGGCCUACCAUGGUCGUAACGGGUAACGGGGAAUUAGGGUUUGAUUCCGGAGAGGGAGCUUGAGAAACGGCUACCACUUCCAAGGAAGGCAGCAGGCGCGCAAAUUACCCAAUCCCGACACGGGGAGGUAGUGACAACAAAUAACAAUACAGGGCCCUACGGGUCUUGUAAUUGGAAUGAGUACAAUUUAAACCCCUUAACGAGGAACAAUUGGAGGGCAAGUCUGGUGCCAGCAGCCGCGGUAAUUCCAGCUCCAUUAGUGUAUAUUAAAGUUGUUGCGGUUAAAAAGCUCGUAGUUGGAUUUCGAGGCCUUGGGAGGCUCAGCCGCCGACAACCUCGGUGUGCGGCCACCCGGUCUCUUCUCUUCUGGAUGCUCGUUGCUGCUCUUAACUGAGUGGCGAUCAAGGGCCCUCCUUUUUCCCUUCACGGGGGAAAGGGUCCCAGCCCGGAGUUCCAGAUCGAUUACUUUGAAAAAAUUAGAGUGUUCAAAGCAGGCGGUUCAAGCCUUGAAUACAUUAGCAUGGGAUAAUGCCAUAGGACUCUGAUCCUAUUUCGUUGGUUUCUGGGAUUGGAGUAAUUGAUUAAAAGGGACAGUUGGGGUGAUUUAUAUUUAAUUGUCAGAGGUGAAAUUCUUGGAUUUCUGAAAGAUAAACUUCUGCGAAAGCAUUUCACAAGGAUGUUUUCAUUAAUCAAGAACGAAAGUUGGGGGAUCGAAGACGAUCAGAUACCGUCGUAGUCUCAACCAUAAACCAUGCCGACCAGGGAUCGGAAGAGUUGACAAGAAUAUCUCCUCCGGCACCUUGUGAGAAAUCACGAGUUUUUGGGCUUCGGGGGGAGUAUGGUCGCAAGGCUGAAACUUAAAGGAAUUGACGGAAGGGCACCACCAGGAGUGGAGCCUGCGGCUUAAUUUGACUCAACACGGGGAAACUUACCAGGUCCGGACAGCAGAAGGAUUGACAGAUUGAGAGCUCUUUCUUGAUUUGCUGGGUGGUGGUGCAUGGCCGUUCUUAGUUGGUGGAGUGAUUUGUCUGCUUAAUUGCGUUAACGAACGAGACCUUAACCUGCUAAAUAGUUACGCGAGCCGUCUACUGGGGCCUCGUGUUCCAGGAUGUGCUCUGCGGCAAACUUCUUAGAGGGACUAUUCGUUCUCAAGCGAAUGGAAGUUUGAGGCAAUAACAGGUCUGUGAUGCCCUUCGAUGUCCUGGGCUGCACGCGCGCUA